AGCAAAAUGAUGAGCUGUUUUGAUCUGAAAUAAAUGUGGAUAACAUGUAAAGGUCUUCAAAGUUCUCUGAUUGCU